GAUUUCUGGCUUGAAACACUAAGCCGGCCACGGUUUCGUGUGUUAGUGCUUGGUGUUCUGGCCAUCCUUCCAAUCGCUGCGUACUUCUCUUCAUUGAUUAGUGCGUAGUAUUGGAUCUUUUACUUUGAAAAAAUUAGAGUGUUUAAAGCAGGCUUUUUGCUAUGAAUACAUUAGCAUGGAAUAAUAAUUUAGGACUUUGGCCCUAUUUUGUUGGUUUCUAGGACUGAAGUAAUGAUUGAUAGGGAUAGUUGGGGGUGCUCGAAUUCAGCGGCCAGAGGUGAAAUUCUUGGAUUCGCUGAAGACGAACUCAUGCGAAAGCAUU
rnacentral:rRNA from 1 species